rnacentral:rRNA from 1 species
CCUACGGGUGACAGCAGUGAGGAAUAUUGGUCAAUGGACGAGAGUCUGAACCAGCCAAGUAGCGUGAAGGAUGACUGCCCUAUGGGUUGUAAACUUCUUUUAUAUGGGAAUAAAAUGUUCCACGUGUGGGAUUUUGUAUGUACCAUAUGAAUAAGGAUCGGCUAACUCCGUGCCAGCAGCCGCGGUAAUACGGAGGAUCCGAGCGUUAUCCGGAUUUAUUGGGUUUAAAGGGAGCGUAGGUGGAUUGUUAAGUCAGUUGUGAAAGUUUGCGGCUCAACCGUAAAAUUGCAGUUGAAACUGGCAGUCUUGAGUACAGUAGAGGUGGGCGGAAUUCGUGGUGUAGCGGUGAAAUGCUUAGAUAUCACGAAGAACUCCGAUUGCGAAGGCAGUUCACUGGACUGCAACUGACACUGAGGCUCAAAAGUGUGGGUAUCAAACAGGAUUAGAUACCCGGGUAGUC